AACGAACGCUGGCGGCAGGCUUAACACAUGCAAGUCGAGCGCCCCGCAAGGGGAGCGGCAGACGGGUGAGUAACGCGUGGGAAUCUACCCAUCUCUACGGAAUAACGCAUGGAAACGUGUGCUAAUACCGUAUACGUCCUUCGGGAGAAAGAUUUAUCGGAGAUGGAUGAGCCCGCGUUGGAUUAGCUAGUUGGUGGGGUAAAGGCCUACCAAGGCGACGAUCAGUAGCUGGUCUGAGAGGAUGAUCAGCCUCACUGGGACUGAGACACGGCCCAGACUCCUACGGGAGGCAGCAGUGGGGAAUAUUGGACAAUGGGCGCAAGCCUGAUCCAGCCAUGCCGCGUGGAUGAUGAAGGCCCUAGGGUUGUAAAGUCCUUUUAACGGGGAAGAUAAUGACGGUACCCGUAGAAUAAGCCCCGGCUAACUUCAUGCCAGCCGCCGCGGUAACAC
rnacentral:rRNA from 1 species